CCGCGGGUAUUUUUGGCGGCGGUCUGCGCCCAGCCCAGCGGCCCCGCCAGCUCCGGCUCCCCCACGGCAGCGAUGCAAUCGGGCAUCACUCGAAAAUGGCGCCGAAAGCGCAGGGCUCUUCAUUCAAAUUCGUUAGAGCCAGCCCCGCUGCCCUAGGGCAUGCCGGGAAUGGGAGGGGGGAGCGAGGGGGAGAGCCGCUCGCGCUGAGGCAGCGCUACGGACACGGCGCUGCUGUCAAUAGCACCCCUCCCCCUCCCCGCUAGCGCGCGCGCCCGCACUAGCAACCCAACCGCCACUCAUGGGGGGGGGGGGGGGGGGGGGAAUGUCACCCAGAGCCCCAGACCCUGGGGAGAGAGACAGUCAUUCACCAUCAGCCCCAUGGACUUGUCAAGGUGUGUGAAGGAGCUUUCAUUAUUGUCCUUUCCACAAUAGCCCAGAUCCUGCAGUUGACUCUGUGUGAGUUGGACUCUAUUGAAGUCAAUGAGGCGCCACACUGGGGCUGGGUUCUACCUGUGAGAAGUCAGUUGCAUGAUCGGGGCCCUAGUGUGACUCCUCAGGGUGAAUUCCGGAGCCUUCUUACCGAGAUAAUGUCACCUUUGUCUACAGUGCUGAUACAUAUAAAAAUGUAUUGUUUUAUGGCUCUCAUAAGCAUGAAGCGUACAAACUCUAUGUCUAAGGUACUCUGAAAUUGCACGGACUCACUGCCAACCACUGUAAAGUCAUGGCUACCACUGAACCCUGCUAGAGCAUGGAGCUGAUGCAUAAGGGCUCAAGUAUAUGACUUUCAUUAUAUGUCAUGGGUUUGUAAUUUUUUUUGCAAAACCAUACUGUUAAAUAAUAAUAAUCCCUGCCACUUACUGGCACAACUCUUGACCAGAAUCACAGUAGCUGUGACAUUGCAGCAGAUCAGCGGUCCACUGAAACAAAUUUUAGAAGUCUAAAAAGGGGAAUGGAAGGGGAGGUUAAUUUGAAGUUAGUCAUGUGCUGAAUAUCCCACUUAUGCUUAUUUGCUGAGGUAAUCACAAGAAAAAAAGUAACUCUUUUAAAAAAUAAAGUUUGUAUUUUUUAGAAAAACCCCAGAGUAUUAUCUUGAAUGAACUCUCAACAUUUUGUAUUUUAACAUAAAAGUAAUUAAUAAUUACACACUGUACAUGUGGAAAUACAGAUUUGAUCCUCAUAAUGAAUUAAUACAAUUUAGUUUUCUUUAAUGUGUACACUACAGGGCGGAUUCUAAAUUCCAGUGUAUUUUUUACAUUUAAAACAAAUGAGACUAUUUAUGAGAGUAAGGAUAUAUAUGUGUAAUACAGAAAGUAUGCAUAUUUUAUUUAUUGAACACUAGUGCCUUCACACAACCUAUUUUUGUUGACAUUUGUUUAUUUUCUCUGGGAGAAUGACAGAUCUGCAGUACAACAUAAUACCAAAUCCAAAGGCCAGAGUUUCAGAGCAGACUGGAUUUCAGGUAAAUAGAAACUGACCCCAUAGUGACAGUGAUGGCCCCACACUUCCUGCUUCAGCUUUUGAAAGAGCUCCCCACCAGCUAAGUCAUUAAACCACUUCUUGUUUCCAGACACUGACAACUCUGGAAUUUAUUUUACACUGCUAUCAUUCAGACUACUUACAAGAAUAGAAUGAACUGUUCUAGGCCCAGAUUCUCUGAUGCACCAAAGCUCUGGUAAAUGUAGCAGAGUUGGGGAGCCAUCCAGUAGCUGGUUAUAGCUCUCUGAUCUCUGCCCAGCCCUGUCUCUGGUACAAGUUAGAGCACCCUAAGGGCAGCUCUAAUUUACCAAAGCUGACAUUGAUCCCUAAUUGACUGUCCACCACCUGAAGAUAGCUGGAGUGCAAUGAUCUUUAGGCAUAGUUCCUAGGAUGAUGUUGCAAAAGUAACCUAUGAUGGCUCUUUGCCUGCUGGGACUUACCCACAUCAAGGGAAUCUUCAGCAAGUGAGAUAAAGGGUAGUUUUCAUCUUUUUGUCCUAAUUCUCACCUGUUUUUUGUAUCAAAUCAGAAAUUAUGAAAUGCUUGGAAAAGUGCACAUUAGAUUUCUUAUGAAGGUAUAUUAACAAGAAGACAACAAUAAUUUACCUAAUUAAGUAUAUGCUGAAAAAUGUACGAAGUUAUCUACUUGGUUAAUGAAAGUUAGUGUAGUGUCAUUGAUAGUGUUUUACUGUUAUUAAAAUACCAUAAUCUGAAAAGGUGUAUGUACUCCAAUCUUGUGCAAUAAAACAUUUGGAAAACAACAAGGCUUAUAAAAAUGUAACCUUAUUAAAAAUAUCUAAAAUUUGAAAUCCUAAAUGUGAAAUGCUUGCUUUCUUGUUUAGAGGAAACAGAGCAAAGAUACAAUAUAACAGAGAAAGCUAGCAGGACAAAGGAGAUACUAUCGACUCAUUCCAGACUGCCAAUUUAGCAGCUCAAACUUAGCUUCCUUUUUACUUUUGUAACAGUAGGGAACUCAAAGCUUUUCUGUCUAUUUUCUGCACAAACAGAAACACCCAAACUUCAAAAAGUAAUACACUACUUUGAAGAAACCAAAACCAUCAACAAGUUAAAAACUGUAUGUACCACUAACUGAAGUCCAUGAUUCUUACAGUUUCCACUGGGUAAAUGUUUAUUAUUUAGUUGUAUUUUUAGGUUACUGCACUAGAGAAAAAAAGUUUUUUUCACCAAAUAUCACUGUCUGUAAAACACUUUUUGUUGUUUUUAGUGUGAUAUGGAUUUAUUGACUUUCCAGUGGGUAAGUACUACUUCAGUAUUUUGACAAAUUUAAUAAAUGAAAAAUUGCCUUUGAUGUCUCAAGUAUACAUUGCAAUAUUUUGGUAAUCUUAUAAUGUUAAAAUGAUAAAAUAGAAAAAAAUAAGAGAGGAUGUGAGAAUUAAUUUUUGGACUCUGUAUUCAAACAUGCUUUUCUAUUAUUUUUAAAUGUUUAUUUUGUGCAGAGAUUAACUUUUGAACUAAGGUGUACCAUGUAUUGUCCUCUGUCACAAACCUACUAUGACUGGCCAGUAAAUGUCAUUGUUCCUGUCAUUUGUAUAGUAAGUAAUACAGUAUCAAAAGUAUAUUCCUAGGAAUUUCACAACACUAGGAUGGUUUCCUGUGUGGUCUAUCUUGUUCAUAUAAAAUUUUUGAGACAGCAGUUUAGCUGUUCUGUGUCCAGAAAUAAAACUUAAAUCUCUUAUGAUAAAUUGCUUCCUGAACAUACAGUAUUUGUUUAAAAUGUCCAGUGUAAAUUAAUCAUCAUUAUGUAAAGCACCCAAACAUGGUAUUAACUGUGAUACUAAGGUAAACAUUUCAAAUGUUAGAAAUCUAGUUUUACAAAAGAGCUACUUUACAGUAAGCAAUACUUUUAAAUCUAGAGGCAAAACAAUGGAUUUUGUACUUGUUUAUUACUAAAUCCUGAACUGUAUUAGUACACCUUCUGGAGCCUUUAGAAUGCACCACCUGUGAUUCACAUUUACUUUAACAUAUUACCAAAAGACAGACAUGUUGGGAGCUGUUAGAAUAUCUCUCAGUUAUUAAGAUUUGUGCAAAGCCUGAGUGACCAGGCUUUUUUUCUUCUUCUUGUUAUAACAGAGGUAGACUAAACAAACAGAACUAGCAUGUAAUGAAAAGCUCCACUCAUCAUAGAUGUUGCUAUUUUGAAAGGACUGAAAUUAGAUCAUUUUAAAAUCAUGAUCCAGACUCAGAAAAGGCAGAAAAACAGGGCCCAGUUAGAACCCAUCCCCCAUUUCUCCAAAUACAGAAAAGCU